CUUGUCUGUGAUGUUUACUCAUCCCAUAGCGUUUUGAAGCUGAUGAAAAAGCUUUUACAUGCACUACCAUCUGAGACAAG